CACCAUGCCUGGCUUGAACCACACAUUUACGAGUGGCUUCGACCAGCAAAGAAGAAAAAUGACCUCUCAGAAGCCCCAAAACACGAUUACAGAAGCAAGUAAGCUGUAAACACCGGCCUCACCACCGGCUCCUCGACCGACCGACGCUCUAUAUAAGUCAGGACUCUACAGCGUGAACUUGGGAUGAGGACAAGACUCAGGCACUCAGACACUCACACAGACGCACACUAGCUCAUCCGCUGGGACAGCGGGUGUGCGAGAGCUCGCUGCCUGGCUUGACUGCAUCAUUGGUGUGCACGAGUAUCUCUCCCCCUCUCGUUUUAAAUUGAAUUUCCAUUUGGCAAAAUAUUGUGAGCUCUCUCUCUCUCUCUAACCGUGG
ensembl:lncRNA